UUAAGUUAUUAAGGGCGCACGGUGGAUGCCUUGGCACUAGAAGCCGAUGAAGGACGUUACUAACGACGAUAUGCUUUGGGGAGCUGUAAGUAAGCUUUGAUCCAGAGAUUUCCGAAUGGGGAAACCCAGCAUGAGUUAUGUCAUGUUAUCGAUAUGUGAAUACAUAGCAUAUCAGAAGGCACACCCGGAGAACUGAAACAUCUUAGUACCCGGAGGAAGAGAAAGAAAAUUCGAUUCCCUUAGUAGCGGCGAGCGAAACGGGAAGAGCCCAAACCAAAAAGCUUGCUUGUUGGGGUUGUAGGACACUCUAUACGGAGUUACAAAGGACGACAUUAGACGAAUCAUCUGGAAAGAUGAAUCAAAGAAGGUAAUAAUCCUGUAGUCGAAAAUGUUGUCUCUCUUGAGUGGAUCCUGAGUACGACGGAGCACGUGAAAUUCCGUCGGAAUCUGGGAGGACCAUCUCCUAAGGCUAAAUACUCUCUAGUGACCGAUAGUGAACCAGUACCGUGAGGGAAAGGUGAAAAGCACCCCGGAAGGGGAGUGAAAUAGAACCUGAAACCGUGUGCUUACAAGUAGUCAGAGCCCGUUAAUGGGUGAUGGCGUGCCUUUUGUAGAAUGAACCGGCGAGUUACGAUUUGAUGCAAGGUUAAGCAGUAAAUGUGGAGCCGUAGCGAAAGCGAGUCUGAAUAGGGCGUUUAGUAUUUGGUCGUAGACCCGAAACUAGGUGAUCUACCCUUGGUCAGGUUGAAGUUCAGGUAACACUGAAUGGAGGACCGAACCGACUUACGUUGAAAAGUGAGCGGAUGAACUGAGGGUAGCGGAGAAAUUCCAAUCGAACCUGGAGAUAGCUGGUUCUCUCCGAAAUAGCUUUAGGGCUAGCCUCAAGUGAUGAUUAUUGGAGGUAGAGCACUGUUUGGACGAGGGGCCCCUCUCGGGUUACCGAAUUCAGACAAACUCCGAAUGCCAAUUAAUUUAACUUGGGAGUCAGAACAUGGGUGAUAAGGUCCGUGUUCGAAAGGGAAACAGCCCAGACCACCAGCUAAGGUCCCAAAAUAUAUGUUAAGUGGAAAAGGAUGUGGCGUUGCCCAGACAACUAGGAUGUUGGCUUAGAAGCAGCCAUCAUUUAAAGAGUGCGUAAUAGCUCACUAGUCGAGUGACACUGCGCCGAAAAUGUACCGGGGCUAAACAUAUUACCGAAGCUGUGGAUUGUCCUUUGGACAAUGGUAGGAGAGCGUUCUAAGGGCGUUGAAGCAUGAUCGUAAGGACAUGUGGAGCGCUUAGAAGUGAGAAUGCCGGUGUGAGUAGCGAAAGACGGGUGAGAAUCCCGUCCACCGAUUGACUAAGGUUUCCAGAGGAAGGCUCGUCCGCUCUGGGUUAGUCGGGUCCUAAGCUGAGGCCGACAGGCGUAGGCGAUGGAUAACAGGUUGAUAUUCCUGUACCACCUAUAAUCGUUUUAAUCGAUGGGGGGACGCAGUAGGAUAGGCGAAGCGUGCGAUUGGAUUGCACGUCUAAGCAGUAAGGCUGAGUAUUAGGCAAAUCCGGUACUCGUUAAGGCUGAGCUGUGAUGGGGAGAAGACAUUGAGUCUUCGAGUCGUUGAUUUCACACUGCCGAGAAAAGCCUCUAGAUAGAAAAUAGGUGCCCGUACCGCAAACCGACACAGGUAGUCAAGAUGAGAAUUCUAAGGUGAGCGAGCGAACUCUCGUUAAGGAACUCGGCAAAAUGACCCCGUAACUUCGGGAGAAGGGGUGCUCUUUAGGGUUAACGCCCAGAAGAGCCGCAGUGAAUAGGCCCAAGCGACUGUUUAUCAAAAACACAGGUCUCUGCUAAACCGUAAGGUGAUGUAUAGGGGCUGACGCCUGCCCGGUGCUGGAAGGUUAAGAGGAGUGGUUAGCUUCUGCGAAGCUACGAAUCGAAGCCCCAGUAAACGGCGGCCGUAACUAUAACGGUCCUAAGGUAGCGAAAUUCCUUGUCGGGUAAGUUCCGACCCGCACGAAAGGCGUAACGAUUUGGGCACUGUCUCAACGAGAGACUCGGUGAAAUCAUAGUACCUGUGAAGAUGCAGGUUACCCGCGACAGGACGGAAAGACCCCGUGGAGCUUUACUGUAGCCUGAUAUUGAAAUUCGGCACAGCUUGUACAGGAUAGGUAGGAGCCUUUGAAACGUGAGCGCUAGCUUACGUGGAGGCGCUGGUGGGAUACUACCCUAGCUGUGUUGGCUUUCUAACCCGCACCACUUAUCGUGGUGGGAGACAGUGUCAGGCGGGCAGUUUGACUGGGGCGGUCGCCUCCUAAAAGGUAACGGAGGCGCUCAAAGGUUCCCUCAGAAUGGUUGGAAAUCAUUCAUAGAGUGUAAAGGCAUAAGGGAGCUUGACUGCGAGACCUACAAGUCGAGCAGGGUCGAAAGACGGACUUAGUGAUCCGGUGGUUCCGCAUGGAAGGGCCAUCGCUCAACGGAUAAAAGCUACCCCGGGGAUAACAGGCUUAUCUCCCCCAAGAGUUCACAUCGACGGGGAGGUUUGGCACCUCGAUGUCGGCUCAUCGCAUCCUGGGGCUGUAGUCGGUCCCAAGGGUUGGGCUGUUCGCCCAUUAAAGCGGUACGCGAGCUGGGUUCAGAACGUCGUGAGACAGUUCGGUCCCUAUCCGUCGUGGGCGUAGGAAAUUUGAGAGGAGCUGUCCUUAGUACGAGAGGACCGGGAUGGACAUACCUCUGGUGUACCAGUUGUCGUGCCAACGGCAUAGCUGGGUAGCUAUGUGUGGACGGGAUAAGUGCUGAAAGCAUCUAAGCAUGAAGCCCCCCUCAAGAUGAGAUUUCCCAACUUCGGUUAUAAGAUCCCUCAAAGAUGAUGAGGUUAAUAGGUUCGAGGUGGAAGCAUGGUGACAUGUGGAGCUGACGAAUACUAAUCGAUCGAAGACUUAAUCAA
rnacentral:rRNA from 1 species